rnacentral:tRNA from 1 species
AGGGGAGACCUAAUUCAGGUAUGGGACGAAAAAAAAGUAGUCGCUACCAAGAAUCAAUCCCAAAAGGUCGGAGCGAGGUAUGAGGCUUUCAAACUAGGUUCUGGGUUCAAACAAGACCUGAAUCAGGAACAAGGGCUAUUAGCUCAGGUGGUUAGAGCGCACCCCUGAUAAGGGUGAGGUCCCUGGUUCGAGUCCAGGAUGGCCCACCUGCACAGGUGGCAAAAACAAGAGAAGCUCCGAAUCAGCACCUUAUCUUAUCUAUAUAUAAGAGAGAAUGCUGGCUCUGAGUACAGAGUCCAGAGGAACCUUGAAAACUGCAUAGAGCUAGGUGAAAAAGCCAAAAAAGAAGACCGCAA